ensembl:lncRNA
GGGUCUGCUGGGGGCAGGAGGGACUUGGGGCCAGGGUACAUUGCUGGGGAGGAGACAAGGGAUUUCUCACCUCCUGGGAAGCUGGGAAAUGGUGUGGGGUGUGGGUGAGUGGGAGAGGAUGGCCAGGGACAGCUUCAGGCCCGGAGUCCUACAGAGCCUGACACCUAGCAGAUGGGAAGAUGCAGCUCAAGUACCUCCUCCCAGAGCCAGGCUGAGGAGGCCACGUGGGCCCAGUAGACCCAGCCUCCGUUGGGCAGUGCUUCGAGAAAUCAUCAGGACUCAGUGAAAUGCAGAAAACCAGCAUAAGCGUGGAACCCUUUGCUCUUCAACCAGCCAAGCCCAGCGCCACCCAGCCCACGCAUUGUCUCCGGGCCAGGAUGAAGGCAUCACCAGACACACCUCGCAUUCAGCUGCAGCGCAGACACUCUUGCAGUUUCUGGUCUUCUCAUUUCUUGGAGAAUUCUCUUGGUAAGUCAAGGCCGUGGCUUUCUUAAGUGGCUUUUUGAGGGAGAAAGCAGGGACUGGGCUAAGAGGGCCACAGCACAGCUUUCUUUUCCCCUCACAGUCCGAGCCAUCAGCGGCCUCGUUGGGGACAACAGAAGGCAUUCUGGGAACGCGGCGUUCUCACAUCCUGCAAAGUACAGGCCGGCGAAGCAGAUGGCAGGGACUUCAAAAGCAUAAGUAACCUUGAAAGAUUACAGCGCAAAGGGCAGUGGAGGGUGUGGGGGGGCUUUUGUACCCUUUGACAAGAAGAAAGCAGGAAAGACAAAAGCUAUUUGCCAGCCUGAUGCAGGAGUCAAUAGAAUUGAUGGUUCUGCUGCAGUUUCCAUCGAGGGUGGCCAAGCCGCCUGUCUUCUUGUCCAAAAACAAACAGCGUCAACCACCUGCCAAACUGUUUCCUGCCUCCUGCUCUGGGGUCUUUUCCUUUUCUUUUUUCACACAGGAUUUUCAUCCUCUGUCCAGGUAGCUGAGCCCUGAUGAUCUCUCUUCCCCUUCACCACCCCCAACUCACCUCCUAAUGGAGCCCCACCCCUCCAGCCCCGGGGCCUGAAAGGCCAGUUCUCCCCCUCCUCCUCCCCUCAGCCCCCCACAACUCCAGGCAGGGUUGCCAUAGGGCAUAUCCGGUUUCCUCUAAGCAUGAAGCCUUCAGCCGGAGGAGGAAGGGGAGUUCAUGUCACAUCUCCACAUUUAGUCAUGGGCUGCUCCGUUGGCCUUUUGCACUUUUUUGUGGAUGGGUAAACUGAGGUACACAGUGAUCAGCUCACUUGCACAGGAUCACAGAGGCACUGGCAGGGUGGCAGGGAUGCUGAAUUCACCUCUGGUGAGAGCCAGGGACAGCAGCAGGUGGGGCGCCAGCUGCUUUUCAGCUGAAGUUGUUAAAAGCAAUGCUUGUUCUUGGCCCCACCAGCUUGCCCUCCAAGACAGAACGUGCUAAUCCGGAGGCCCCGCAAAGGUUCAAAUUGACUUCUUGGCUCCGAGGCGGAAGGCAGUUCCUGGCCGCAGCCCCCCAACCCCCAGGCUCAAGGUGGCUGCCAGGCCACUCUCACCUGGCCUAGAAAUCAAGUCCUGAGACCCCUCCCACCCCUGCACUUCUCCCCCUCCCACCACAGGUGCUGUCAGGACAGGCCCUCUGCCCUCAAACAUCUGUUCCUCUCCUCGGGCAGGAGCCAGGCCUCAGAAGCCUGUUCUCCUUUGAAGCUGACAGCUUGAUGCCUGUGAAAAUGCAGUCCUAUUUCAGCAUUUCAUUUUAAAGAGAUUUCAAAGGAGUGGCUGGAAGGCUCAGUGGAAUCGCUUAUUACAGCUCCUCUCCCAGCCCGAGGCUCAGUGGCUGAGCACGUCAUUGUCAUCAGCAGGCAGGUGACUGUUCUAAAUUAGCACCUGGCUCAUUCUGGAGGGUUCUAAUUCUUCCUGAGCUUCUUCCAAGAAAAACAUUCAUGGCUUAAAUCUUCUUAUACCUUGCCUGAAUUAUCUGUUUGAAAUGAUCCACCCAGCAGGUGAAUUUAUAUGUCGUCUCCAAGACUCUUGUUUCUGUCCGGCACAUUUUAAAGACACACAUGUGAAGGCUAUGAAAACGUGACCCCCCCAGACCUGGGAGGCUGCGCCCAAUGGAGCCUCAGGGGCAAAGGAAGCAAACCAGCUUGCGAGGGAAGAGUUGUUCUGGUCAGUGGCUGUUGUCCUGCGUGUCCCUCCAGCCCCACCACCACUGUGGCCCGCCAGGAUGGGGAGGGAAUGGGGUGGCCCCAGGGGGCAAGGGCCUGGUGCCAUGCUUGCUCAUGUGCCGCCCUCGUAGUCUCUGAGAUCUGCCCCUCAAAUGCAAGAAACGCAUAAGUCCAUAGGAAGAUGAUAGGGAGACCCUGGGGAUUUUUCUACCUAACUACUCUGCACCUCUGCAAGGGGAGCAUCAUGGUUUGGAAGAAAUGGAAACAAAGGCAUGGCACGGAAGUCCCCUGUGGCCAGAGCCUGCACACCAAGAUGGGAGUGCUGAGACUCUUCUAGACUGCAAAGGGUUUGGCUCAGCCCGAAGAGGACUCUGCCAGGAAGCUGUCAGGCGUCUGAGGCCACCUGCCUCUCCUCUGCUUCAGGAAUAGCCAGCAAUAUUGCCAUCUUGGCUCUGAGGGGCACUGGGCAUCACGAUGC